rnacentral:lncRNA from 12 species
AUGGACUCCAUGGGAACAAGAAUCUCUGGAUUUUUGGACUCCAUGGGAUCAGAAAUCUUUGGAUUUUUGGACUCCAUGGGAUCAGAAAUCUUUGGAUUUAUGGACUCCAUGGGAACAGGAAUCUUUGGAUUUUUGGACUCCAUGGGAACAGAAAUCUUUGGAUCUAUGGACUCCAUGGGAUCAGGAAUCUUUGGCUUUUUGGACUCCAUGGGAACAGGAAUCUUUGGAUUUAUGGACUCCAUGGGAUCAGGAAUCUUUGGAUUUUUGGACUCCAUGGAACAGGAAUCCCGGGAUUUUUGGACUCCAUGGGAACCUCGGGAGCUCGGCACUUCUACAAUCCAUUAUCCAAUAACCUUUAGUCGGGGCUCAGCUCUGCUUCCCGGUCUAUCCACAGAUAUCCAGGCAAGGUUUAGGUUGGCCUGCAAGUUCCACAACAAAAGAGCCGCCGUAAGUCAGCGCCAAAAGGACUCCAACUCCCCGCGCCCCACGAAGACCCCAGAGCACACGUACCCCCAAACCCAGGGAAUCCCCGCGGGCCCAGCAGGUUCCUGAUGUCCAGCAGGCCCGUGGAGCCCACCAGGGUCUGCUGGGGGAAGGUGGUCAGGGUGGGCCCGGGGUAGAUGACGGAGUAGGGCGGGAAAUCGGGCUCCACGAUGUCCACCACGGUGUCGGGGUAUUUGAUGACGCACGUUUCGUUGCGGGUCACGGCGAAGGGCUCGGGGCACGCCAGGCCCGGGGGCAGGCAGCACUCGUGGAAGGGAGACAUGGGGAGGGGAAGAGCUGGAAAUGAGAAGGGAAAGAGGGAAAAUCAGAAAAGAAACGCCCCCAUCCUCGGUGAGGCGGGAAAUGUGUGUUAAGUGUUGCGAGGUUUUGGUAACGCGGUUAUGGGGAAUUUUGGUAAAUUGGUGAUUUUGGAUAAAUUUGGGAUUGUGAAGAGCUCAGGUGGGAGUUGCAUUUGUCCAGUUUAGUUUUCCAACCAGAAACUCUUUUCCUUCCUGGUUCUUUUUCUUCCUGAACUUCCUGGUCUUCAAUAUAAUGAUAUUUUUUAUGCCAUCACCAUUUUAACCCCAAAA